rnacentral:tRNA from 1 species
GGGGUCGUAGUUCAGUUGGUUAGAAUGCCAGCCUGUCACGUUGGAGAUCGCGGGUUCGAGUCCCGUCGGCCCCGCCA